UACGGAGGGUGCAAGCGUUAUCCGGAUUCACUGGGUUUAAAGGGUGCGUAGGUGGGUUUGUAAGUCAGUGGUGAAAUCUCCGGGCUUAACCCGGAAACUGCCAUUGAUACUAUUUGUCUUGAAUACUGUGGAGGUCAGCGGAAUAUGUCAUGUAGCGGUGAAAUGCUUAGAUAUGACAUAGAACACCAAUUGCGAAGGCAGCUGGCUACACAAAUAUUGACACUGAGGCACGAAAGCGUGGGGAUCAAACAGG
rnacentral:rRNA from 1 species